rnacentral:sRNA from 1 species
CCACAAAGUUUGGCUCCUAUACGGAUUCCAAAC